GACAGAGGAUGCAAGCGUUAUCCGGCAUGAUUGGGCGUAAAGCGUCUGUAGGUGGCUUUUUAAGUCUGCCGUCAAAUCCCAGGGCUUAACCCUGGACAGGCGGUGGAAACUACCAAGCUGGAGUACGGUAGGGGCAGGGGGAAUUUCCGGUGGAGCGGUGAAAUGCGUAGAGAUCGGAAAGAACACCAACGGCGAAAGCACUCUGCUGGGCCGACACUGACACUGAGAGACGAAAGCUAGGGGAGCGAAUGGG
rnacentral:rRNA from 1 species